rnacentral:rRNA from 1 species
UGCCAGACUCCUACGGGAGGCAGCAGUGGGGAAUAUUGCACAAUGGGGGAAACCCUGAUGCAGCGACGCCGCGUGAGUGAAGAAGUCAUUCGUGAUGUAAAGCUCUAUCAGCAGGGAAGAAAAUGACGGUACCUGACCAAGAAGCCCCGGCUAACUACGUGCCAGCAGCCGCGGUAAUACGUAGGGGGCAAGCGUUAUCCGGAUUUACUGGGUGUAACGGGAGCGUAGACGGCAGCGCAAGUCUGGAGUGAAAUGCCGGGGCCCAACCCCGGAACUGCUCUGGAAACUGUGAAGCUGGAGUGCAGGAGAGGUAAGCGGAAUUCCUGGUGUAGCGGUGAAAUGCGUAGAUAUCAGGAGGAACACCGGCGGCGAAGGCGGCUUACUGGACUGUAACUGACGUUGAGGCUCGAAGGCGUGGGGAGCAAACAGGAUUAGAUACCCGCGUA